rnacentral:rRNA from 1 species
GCUAAGUACGGGCGAGCAGGCGGGGUAAUGCGUGGGGGGUGAGCGGUGUCCGGGGUUAUUGGGCGGAAAGGGCGUGGCGGCGGCCGGGUAGGUCCGCUGUGAAAACGCGAGGGUCAACCUCGGGAUGUCGGCGGAAACCAGCUGGCUAGAGUCCGGAAGAGGAGAGUGGAAUUCCUGGUGUAGCGGUGAAAUGCGCAGAUAUCAGGAAGAACACCUAUGGCGAAGGCAGCUCUCUGGGACGGUACUGACGCUGAGACGCGAAAGCGUGGGGAGCGAACAGGUUUAGAUACCCGUGUAGUC